rnacentral:rRNA from 1 species
UCCUACGGGAGGCAGCAGUGGGGAAUUUUCCGCAAUGGGCGAAAGCCUGACGGAGCAAUACCGCGUGUGGGAAGACGGCCUAUGGGUUGUAAACCUCUUUUUUCAGGGAGGAAUUUUGACGUGUACCUGAAGAAUAAGCAUCGGCUAACUCCGUGCCAGCAGCCGCGGUAAGACGGAGGAUGCAAGUGUUAUCCGGAAUCACUGGGCGUAAAGCGUCUGUAGGUGGUUAAGCAAGUCAACUGUUAAAUCUUGAGGCUCAACUUCAAAAUCGCAGUCGAAACUAUUAGACUAGAGUAUAGUAGGGGUAAAGGGAAUUUCCAGUGGAGCGGUGAAAUGCGUAGAUAUUGGAAAGAACACCGAUGGCGAAGGCACUUUACUGGGCUAUUACUGACACUCAGAGACGAAAGCUAGGGUAGCAAAUGGGAUUAGAUACCCCAGUAGUCCUAGCCGUAAACAAUGGAUACUAGAUGUUGAACAGAUCGACCUGUGCAGUAUCAAAGCUAACGCGUUAAGUAUCCCGCCUGGGAAGUAUGCUCGCAAGAGUGAAACUCAAAUGAAUUGACGGA